rnacentral:rRNA from 1 species
AUUGAACGCUGGCGGCAGGCUUAACACGUGCAAGUCGAGCGGGGUGAUGGUGCUUGCACUAUCACUUAGCGGCGGACGGGUGAGUAAUGCUUAGGAAUCUGCCUAUUAGUGGGGGACAACAUCUCGAAAGGGAUGCUAAUACCGCAUACGUCCUACGGGAGAAAGCAGGGGAUCACUUGUGACCUUGCGCUAAUAGAUGAGCCUAAGUCGGAUUAGCUAGUUGGUGGGGUAAAGGCCUACCAAGGCGACGAUCUGUAGCGGGUCUGAGAGGAUGAUCCGCCACACUGGGACUGAGACACGGCCCAGACUCCUGCGGGAGGCAGCAGUGGGGAAUAUUGGACAAUGGGGGGAACCCUGAUCCAGCCAUGCCGCGUGUGUGAAGAAGGCCUUAUGGUUGUAAAGCACUUUAAGCGAGGAGGAGGCUCUUUUGGUUAAUACCCAAGAUGAGUGGACGUUACUCGCAGAAUAAGCACCGGCUAACUCUGUGCCAGCAGCCGCGGUAA